CGCCAGCGGUUUCUUAAGAAGUCACACCCGUGCUAUCAUGUGGAGCGGCAAUGGCCCUCUUGGGCAACUAUCUCCAAGAAGUGAAAACCACACUGUCACAAAAACUGUCACAAACGCUCAUAGCGGCUCAUGUGCAGGAACCAAAGCUGGAGACAGUGCCCUUCAAAGGGAGAAGGUCGAACAAACGUGGCCUUCCAUCGGGGAGCACUGCGGGGCAGUGAGAAGGAACAGCCUGAGCUUCAGCCGCACUCAGCAGCUGACUCCUGCCUGUUUUUAUAAGGGUGCCUCAGAGCUACUUGGUGCUGCUCAGGGAGCCCAGGACGAAGCCACUUUCAGAACCACAGCUUCCUAGUUUCACCAUCGCCGAGUCCAGCGCCAUGCCAGCUGUGGACCCUGCAUCCCCAGUCAUCACUGUGGCCAUGGCAGGAGGUCCUGCCUGUGGACAGCAGCCUCCUCUGCAGCCACCCUUGCUGUCCUGCAGACUGUGGGCCUGCCCAUGGCCCUCCACAGCAGCGGCCGCUCCACUGCAAUAAACGGGGAAUAAAGAUCCA